GUUCAGUUUCCCGCGUCUUGUACAUGUACCUUGUGUUGCCCGUGUAUGUCAUGUAUAUGUUGUCACGUGACUGAGUGUACCCGACCUGUAGGACCGCGCCACCCGUGGACUAUCACAUCAGCGACACACGGGUGAGGACGUAUAUACAUGCACGGCUUGACUGUUGACUAUCUGCCAGAUUAUUGUUAAAGGAUAAAGUAAGUUUAAAGUAUAAAUUUCUAAUUAUAAUAGAGAAGUUGUAUAACUGUAUUUCUAUUUUCUAUUGUUGAAUAUAAAUAUAUAUCUAGUGGGGUCCUCCGUUGUGCUUUUUACAACGAGAGGCCGUAUUCUAUCUUUAAAAUAAAGUAAGUUCUGGUAAUUUUAAAUGGUUUUAUUUAUUAUAUUUAGUAAAAUGGAUAGCGUUAACUUGAAGCGGGUUAUUUAUUUUUGGCUUUCUUUUCCUUAACAGAACGCUUGUGUGCUCGUAAUUUAUACUUUGUCUACGAGUCCCGUAAUAUUAUCGGGAGAGGAACCCCUGUCCAAGGGAUAGGGGUUUUUACCUGGAGAAUAAAGUGUAAACCAAA